GACGAACGCUGGCGGCGUGCCUAAUACAUGCAAGUCGAACGCAGUGGGGACGGGUGCGUAACACGUGGGUAACCUCCCAUCAGAGGGGAUAACACUUGGAAACAGGUGCUAAACCGAUACUGAUGGAUGGAUCCGCGCUGCAUUGGCUAGUUGGUAAGGUAACGGCGUACCAAGGCAACGAUGCAUAGCCGACCUGAGAGGGUGAUCGGCCACACUGGAACUGAGACACGGUCCAGACUCCUACGGGAGGCAGCAGUAGGGAAUAUUCGGCAAUGGACGAAAGUCUGACCGAGCAACGCCGCGUGAGUGAAGAAGGUUUUCGGAUCGUAAAACUCUGUUGUUAGAGAAGCGGUAUCUAACCAGAAAGCCACGGCUAACUACGUGCCAGCCGCCGCGGUAAUUC
rnacentral:rRNA from 1 species